rnacentral:rRNA from 1 species
AACGAACGCUGGCGGCAUGCCUAACACAUGCAAGUCGAACGAGACCUUCGGGUCUAGUGGCGCACGGGUGCGUAACGCGUGGGAACCUGCCCUUAGGUUCGGAAUAACUCCCCGAAAGGGGUGCUAAUACCGGAUAAUGUCUUCGGACCAAAGAUUUAUCGCCUUUGGAUGGGCCCGCGUUGGAUUAGCUAGUUGGUAGGGUAAAAGCCUACCAAGGCGACGAUCCAUAGCUGGUCUGAGAGGAUGAUCAGCCACACUGGGACUGAGACACGGCCCAGACUCCUCGGGGAGGCAGCAGUGGGGAAUAUUGGACAAUGGGCGAAAGCCUGAUCCAGCAAUGCCGGGGGAGUGAUGAAGGCCUUAGGGUUGUAAAGCUUUUUUACCCGGGAUGAUAAUGACAGUACCGGGAGAAUAAGCCCCGGCUAACUCCGU